rnacentral:rRNA from 1 species
ACACAUGCAAGUCGAACGGCAGCACGGGAGCAAUCCUGGUGGCGAGUGGCGAACGGGUGAGUAAUAUAUCGGAACGUGCCCAGUCGUGGGGGAUAACGUAGAGAAAUUUACGCUAAUACCGCAUACGAUCUACGGAUGAAAGCGGGGGACUCGCAAGAGCCUCGCGCGACUGGAGCGGCUGAUAUCAGAUUAGGUUGUUGGUGAGGUAAAAGCUCACCAAGCCGACGAUCUGUAGCUGGUUUGAGAGAACGACCAGCCACACUGGGACUGAGACACGGCCCAGACUCCUACGGGAGGCAGCAGUGGGGAAUUUUGGACAAUGGGCGCAAGCCUGAUCCAGCAAUGCCGCGUGCAGGAAGAAGGCCUUCGGGUUGUAAACUGCUUUUGUACGGAACGAAAAGGUCCUUUCUAAUACAAGGGGCUAAUGACGGUACCGUAAGAAUAAGCACCGGCUAACUACGUGCCAGCAGCCGCGGUAAUACGUAGGGCGCGAGCGUUAAUCGGAAUUACUGGGCGUAAAGCGUGCGCAGGCGGUUAUGUAAGACAGUUGUGAAAUCCCCGGGCUCAACCUGGGAAUUGCAUCUGUGACUGCAUAGCUAGAGUACGGUAGAGGGGGAUGGAA